rnacentral:siRNA from 1 species
AGACGUGACUCUUGUUAUAAUUAA